rnacentral:rRNA from 1 species
CAGCCGCCGCGGUAACACGUAGGGGGCAAGCGUUAUCCGGAAUUAUUGGGCGUAAAGGGUGCGUAGGCGGCUUCUUAAGCGUGGGGUGAAAUGCAAUAGCUCAACUAUUGUAAGCCUUGCGAACUGGGGAGCUUGAGUGCAGGAGAGGAAAGCGGAAUUCCUAGUGUAGCGGUGAAAUGCGUAGAUAUUAGGAGGAACACCAGUGGCGAAGGCGGCUUUCUGGACUGUAACUGACGCUGAGGCACGAAAGCGUGGGUAGCGAACAGGAUUAGAUACCCUGGUAGUCCACGCCGUAAACGAUGAGCACUAGGUGUCGGGGUCGCAAGACUUCGGUGCCGCAGUUAACGCAUUAAGUGCUCCGCCUGGGGAGUACGCACGCAAGUGUAAAACUCAAAGGAAUUGACGGGGACCCGCACAAGCAGCGGAGCAUGUGGUUUAAUUCGAAGCAACGCGAAGAACCUUACCAGGGCUUGACAUCCCUCUGACAGAUCCGUAAUGGGAUCCUCCCUUCGGGGCAGAGGUGACAGGUGGUGCAUGGCC